UUUUCCUUUUCUUUGGAAGGAAAAAAUUCCCCAAGGGUUUGAUUGUUUCACCCAUGCAAGGGAACCUGAGGUGGGUUUAGACCGUCGUGAGACCGGUUUAGUUUACCCUACUAAUGACAAAACGUUGUUGCGACAGCAUUCCUGCGUAGUACGAGAGGAACCGCAGGUACGGACCAAUGGCACAAUACUUGUUCGAGCGAACAGUGGUAUAACGCUACGUCCGUUGGAUUAUGCCUGAACGCCUCUAAGGUCGUAUCCGUGCUGGACUGCAAUGAUAAAUAAGGGGCAAUUUGCAUUGUAUGGCUUCUAAACCAUUAAAAGUUUUUAAUUUGUUUUAUUAACGACAAUGGAUGUGAUGCCAAUGUUAUUUAUAACAUAGUAAAUUGGGAGGAUCUUCGAUCACCUGAUGCCGCGCUAGUUAUAUUUUAAAACAUUAUUUAAUACAAUGUCAAAGCCUAGAAUCAAUUGUAAACGACUUUUGUAACAGGCAAGGUGUUGUAAGUGGUUGAGCAGCUGCCAUACUGCGAUCCACUGAAGCUUAUCCUUUGCUUGAUGAUUCGA
rnacentral:ncRNA from 1 species